rnacentral:lncRNA from 1 species
UCUUUAUCUCAGAUUUUACCCCCAACAAUCAUUCAUAAGUACGUACAUAUACAUAUACAUACACAUAAUACAUAGCUUGUUCUAUGUUUUUAAUGGCAUCUACAACCUUUAGCAACAUUAGCUUACAUCUUAAACCCUUUUAUAGAGUAGAUAACAUCAUUCUUAAGCAAGAAUUCACCAAAAACCUGAUUUGAAACUAUAAUAAUAAAAUACUAACUUCGCAGUCGAAGCGCCGGAAAAAUCCAACGCGCGCGGGGGAUCGAUCGGCUCGUCAAACGACACCAAUUUCAUUAACUUUCUUCUUCUUCUUCUUCUCUUUUUCCCUUUUCUCCCUUUCCCUCUCUCUCUCAUGCGUACAGGGAGAGGAUAAGAAUGGAGGUUCCCCCUGGCAGCUUAGUGGAAAUCCACUAAGCAAGGUAACAAUUGCCUUUAGGUCCAUAGGUCAUCAAUAUUAUCACUUCAGUCCAGUUCUAGUCUGAUACAUUUAAUUGGAGCCCUUCUGAAUGUCCGUUUUCUCUCAAAUUUGACAGGCAUGUUCGGUUUUACAUAACAAGUCCAAAGAAAUUUUAACAUUUCAGUUUCGACCCCGUUUGGUCACUGCGAACUGUCCCGAACUGUAAUCUUUAUCAGAUAACUUCCAAAUGCUAUUUCUCUCUCUACAGGUGUCAGAAAAAUCUGAAACUUCAAAUCUAGCCUCAUUAAAAUGUUCCUGACAUCUCUGCCAAUUUUCAUAAUUUUCUGACACUGUGCAUUUUCUGCUAAUUUUCUCAGUCCCGUUCUUUACAGAAAAUUCUAAAGUUUUCGUUUUCACUCCGAUUUCACCCAAACACUUCCAAAAUAUACCAAGGGACCUUCAUAAGCUACCAAUUCAAUUUGGAAGCCAUUCCUUUUCAUUUUGACAUUAUUGGAGCCGAAUGAGAAAUAGAAUCAGCUCCAAUGCACUUUCUCCUUUUUCACACUACCACUUUGCCCUGAGCUCUUCAAAGCCCUUUGAUAACACACCCUUGGCUUUUCCAAGACUUCCCAACUGAUUCGGAGAUGCCACAAUUUAUCUUUACGCCUUACUUUCAUUUCUUUUAAUCAAAGUUAGCGUCGGAAAUUUUCGGAAAUCCGAAAUUCUCUUUAUAUUUUGUUUCGCGCCCAAUUUGCGCCGAAACACUUAUUUAUCUCCGAAAUUCAUUCCAACGCAUCACAAAUCACUCGAGGAUGAUGUCCAACUAGCUCAAUCCUCACUUUGACCCUCUAGGUCAAAGUUGACAUCGCAAUUCCAAGUUUUCAUAUGUUACA